rnacentral:rRNA from 1 species
AGGACGAACGCUGGCGGCGUGCUUAACACAUGCAAGUCGAGCGGAAAGGCCCUUCGGGGUACUCGAGCGGCGAACGGGUGAGUAACACGUGAGCAACCUGCCCUUAGCUUCGGGAUAGCUCCGGGAAACCGGAAUUAAAUACCGAAUAUGACUUUGGCUGACAUCAGCAGAAGUGGAAAGUUUUUCGGCUAGGGAUGGACUCGCGGCCUAUCAGCUAGUUGGUGAGGUAACGGCCCACCGAAGGCGACGACGGGUAG